UACAGAGGGUGCGAGCGUUAAUCGGAAUUACUGGGCGUAAAGGGCUCGUAGGCGGCCAACUAAGUCAGACGUGAAAUCCCUCGGCUUAACCGGGGAACUGCGUCUGAUACUGGAUGGCUUGAGGUUGGGAGAGGGAUGCGGAAUUCCAGGUGUAGCGGUGAAAUGCGUAGAUAUCUGGAGGAACACCGGUGGCGAAGGCGGCAUCCUGGACCAAUUCUGACGCUGAGGAGCGAAAGCCAGGGGAGCAAACGGG
rnacentral:rRNA from 1 species